ACGCUCGACACCUACGAGAGGCAGCAGUGGGGGAUAUUGCACAAUGGGGGAAACCCUGAUGCAGCAACGCCGCGUGUGGGAAGAAGGUUUUCGGAUUGUAAACCACUGUUCUCAGGGACGAUAAUGACGGUACCUGAGGAGAAAGCUCCGGCUAACUACGCGCCAGCAGCCGCGGUAAUCUGAGCGGGCUGGCAAGGC
rnacentral:rRNA from 1 species